CAGGACGAACGCUGGCGGCGUGCCUAAUACAUGCAAGUCGAACGGUCUUUCUAUGGAAGCUUGCUUCCACUGAGAAGAUAGUGGCGAACGGGUGAGUAACACGUGGGUAACCUGCCCAUAAGAGGGGGAUAACAUCCGGAAACGGGUGCUAAUACCGCAUAGUUUUCUUGAUCACAUGAUUGAGAAAGGAAAGACGGCCUUUGUGCUGUCGCUUAUGGAUGGACCCGCGGCGUAUUAGUUAGUUGGUGAGGUAACGGCUCACCAAGACGAUGAUACGUAGCCGACCUGAGAGGGUGAUCGGCCACAUUGGGACUGAGACACGGCCCAAACUCCUACGGGAGGCAGCAGUAGGGAAUCUUCCGCAAUGGACGAAAGUCUGACGGAGCAACGCCGCGUGAGUGAAGAAAGGUUUUCGGAUCGUAAAACUCUGUUGUCAGAGAAGAACAAGUUGGAGAGUAACUGCUCCAGCCUUGACGGUAUCUGACCAGAAAGCCACGGCUAACUACGUGCCAGCCGCCGC
rnacentral:rRNA from 1 species